UACGAAGGGGGCUAGCGUUGCUCGGAAUCACUGGGCGUAAAGCGCACGUAGGCGGAUUCCUAAGUCGGUGGUGAAAUCCUGGAGCUCAACUCCAGAACUGCCUUUGAUACUGAAGAUCUUGAGUUCGGGAGAGGUGAGUGGAACUGCGAGUGUAGAGGUGAAAUUCGUAGAUAUUCGCAAGAACACCAGUGGCGAAGGCGGCUCACUGGCCCGAUACUGACGCUGAGGCACGAAAGCGUGGGGAGCAAACAGG
rnacentral:rRNA from 1 species